GACGAACGCUGGCGGCGUGCUUAACACAUGCAAGUCGAGCGGUAAGGCCCUUUCGGGGUACGACGAGCGGCGAACGGGUAGAGUAACACGUGGGUGGACCUGCCCUCCAGCUCUGGGAGUAAGCCUCGGGAAACCGGGGUACGUAAUACCGGAUAUGACUCCAUGACGCAUGUUGUGGGGUGGAAAGCCUUGUGCGGCUGAGGAUGGGCCCGGCGGCCUAUCAGCUUGUUGGUGGGGUGAUGGCCUACCAAGGCGACGACGGGUAGCCGGCCUGAGAGGGCGACCGGCCACACUGGGACUGAGACACGGCCCAGACUCCUACGGGAGGCAGCAGUGGGGAAUCUUGCGCAAUGGGCGAAAGCCUGACGCAGCGACGCCGCGUGAGGGAUGACGG
rnacentral:rRNA from 1 species